GGGUUGUGAGGUUAAGCGACUAAGCGUACACGGUGGAUGCCCUGGCAGUCAGAGGCGAUGAAGGACGUGCUAAUCUGCGAUAAGCGCCGGUAAGGUGAUAUGAACCGUUAUAACCGGCGAUUUCCGAAUGGGGAAACCCAGUGUGAUUCGUCACACUAUCAUUAACUGAAUCCAUAGGUUAAUGAGGCGAACCGGGGGAACUGAAACAUCUAAGUACCCCGAGGAAAAGAAAUCAACCGAGAUUCCCCCAGUAGCGGCGAGCGAACGGGGAGGAGCCCAGAGCCUGAAUCAGCAUGUGUGUUAGUGGAAGCGUCUGGAAAGGCGCGCGAUACAGGGUGACAGCCCCGUACACAAAAGCGCAUGUGCUGUGAGCUCGAUGAGUAGGGCGGGACACGUGGUAUCCUGUCUGAAUAUGGGGGGACCAUCCUCCAAGGCUAAAUACUCCUGACUGACCGAUAGUGAACCAGUACCGUGAGGGAAAGGCGAAAAGAACCCCGGCGAGGGGAGUGAAAAAGAACCUGAAACCGUGUACGUACAAGCAGUGGGAGCCCCACCACCAAAGCAUUCUCUGGUGUUGAAGGCCCUGCAAAGCAGCAUCGCGGUGGCGGAGCGUCGUUUGCGACGCCCAACACACAAAACAAGCGGUGAAUGCUUUGGGGUGGGGUGACUGCGUACCUUUUGUAUAAUGGGUCAGCGACUUAUAUUCUGUAGCAAGGUUAACCGAAUAGGGGAGCCGGAGGGAAACCGAGUCUUAAUUGGGCGUUAAGUUGCAGGGUAUAGACCCGAAACCCGGUGAUCUAGCCAUGGGCAGGUUGAAGGUUGGGUAACACUAACUGGAGGACCGAACCGACUAAUGUUGAAAAAUUAGCGGAUGACCUGUGGCUGGGGGUGAAAGGCCAAUCAAACCGGGAGAUAGCUGGUUCUCCCCGAAAGCUAUUUAGGUAGCGCCUCGUGAAUUCAUCUCCGGGGGUAGAGCACUGUUUCGGCUAGGGGGCCAUCCCGGCUUACCAACCCGAUGCAAACUGCGAAUACCGGAGAAUGUUAUCACGGGAGACACACGGCGGGUGCUAACGUCCGUCGUGAAGAGGGAAACAACCCAGACCGCCAGCUAAGGUCCCAAAGUCAUGGUUAAGUGGGAAACGAUGUGGGAAGGCCCAGACAGCCAGGAUGUUGGCUUAGAAGCAGCCAUCAUUUAAAGAAAGCGUAAUAGCUCACUGGUCGAGUCGGCCUGCUCGGAAGAUGUAACGGGGCUAAACCAUGCACCGAAGCUGCGGCAGCGAACGUAUCACCCAAGACAACUUUACGGAGUUGACGAUUGACGGAGCGAAGCGACGUCAAAGCGUUCAUUAAAGUCGAGUUGGCUUAGGGAUACGUUCGUUGGGUAGGGGAGCGUUCUGUAAGCCUGUGAAGGUGUGUCGUGAGGCAUGCUGGAGGUAUCAGAAGUGCGAAUGCUGACAUAAGUAACGAUAAAGCGGGUGAAAAGCCCGCUCGCCGGAAGACCAAGGGUUCCUGUCCAACGUUAAUCGGGGCAGGGUGAGUCGACCCCUAAGGCGAGGCCGAAAGGCGUAGUCGAUGGGAAACGGGUUAAUAUUCCCGUACUUGGUGUUACUGCGAAGGGGGACGGAGAAGGCUAUGUUGGCCGGGCGACGGUUGUCCCGGUUUAAGCGUGUAGGUGUGUGUUCCAGGUAAAUCCGGUUCACUUUAACACUGAGGCGUGAUGACGAGGCACUACGGUGCUGAAGCAACAAAUGCCCUGCUUCCAGGAAAAGCCUCUAAGCAUCAGGUAACAUCAAAUCGUACCCCAAACCGACACAGGUGGUCAGGUAGAGAAUACCAAGGCGCUUGAGAGAACUCGGGUGAAGGAACUAGGCAAAAUGGUGCCGUAACUUCGGGAGAAGGCACGCUGACACGUAGGUGAAGUGAUUUACUCACGGAGCUGAAGUCAGUCGAAGAUACCAGCUGGCUGCAACUGUUUAUUAAAAACACAGCACUGUGCAAACACGAAAGUGGACGUAUACGGUGUGACGCCUGCCCGGUGCCGGAAGGUUAAUUGAUGGGGUCAGCGCAAGCGAAGCUCCUGAUCGAAGCCCCGGUAAACGGCGGCCGUAACUAUAACGGUCCUAAGGUAGCGAAAUUCCUUGUCGGGUAAGUUCCGACCUGCACGAAUGGCGUAAUGAUGGCCAGGCUGUCUCCACCCGAGACUCAGUGAAAUUGAACUCGCUGUGAAGAUGCAGUGUACCCGCGGCAAGACGGAAAGACCCCGUGAACCUUUACUAUAGCUUGACACUGAACAUUGAGCCUUGAUGUGUAGGAUAGGUGGGAGGCUUUGAAGUGUGGACGCCAGUCUGCAUGGAGCCGACCUUGAAAUACCACCCUUUAAUGUUUGAUGUUCUAACGUGGACCCGUAAUCCGGGUUGCGGACAGUGUCUGGUGGGUAGUUUGACUGGGGCGGUCUCCUCCUAAAGAGUAACGGAGGAGCACGAAGGUUGGCUAAUCCUGGUCGGACAUCAGGAGGUUAGUGCAAUGGCAUAAGCCAGCUUGACUGCGAGCGUGACGGCGCGAGCAGGUGCGAAAGCAGGUCAUAGUGAUCCGGUGGUUCUGAAUGGAAGGGCCAUCGCUCAACGGAUAAAAGGUACUCCGGGGAUAACAGGCUGAUACCGCCCAAGAGUUCAUAUCGACGGCGGUGUUUGGCACCUCGAUGUCGGCUCAUCACAUCCUGGGGCUGAAGUAGGUCCCAAGGGUAUGGCUGUUCGCCAUUUAAAGUGGUACGCGAGCUGGGUUUAGAACGUCGUGAGACAGUUCGGUCCCUAUCUGCCGUGGGCGCUGGAGAACUGAGGGGGGCUGCUCCUAGUACGAGAGGACCGGAGUGGACGCAUCACUGGUGUUCGGGUUGUCAUGCCAAUGGCACUGCCCGGUAGCUAAAUGCGGAAGAGAUAAGUGCUGAAAGCAUCUAAGCACGAAACUUGCCCCGAGAUGAGUUCUCCCUGAGACUUUAGGUCUCCUGAAGGAACGUUGAAGACGACGACGUUGAUAGGCCGGGUGUGUAAGCGCAGCGAUGCGUUGAGCUAACCGGUACUAAUGAACCGUGAGGCUUAACCUUACAACGCCGAAG
rnacentral:rRNA from 1 species